rnacentral:lncRNA from 1 species
UUUCUUUUCUUUUCUUUUCUUUUCUUUUCUUUUCUUUUCUUUUCUUUUCUUUUCUUUUCUUUUCUUUUUUUUUUUUUUUUUUUUUUUUUUUUUUUUUUUUUUUUUUUUUUUUUUUUUUUUUUUUUUUUUUUUUUUUUUUUUUUUUUUUUUUUUUUUUUUUUUUUUUUUUUUUUUUUUUUUUUUUUUUUUUUUUUUUUUUUUCUUUUUUUUUUUUUUUUUU